rnacentral:lncRNA from 1 species
CUCUCAUUCCCCUCUAGAGAGAACUACAGGAAAACCGUACGGCGCUCUAUCAUCUGGAAGAUCAUCUCACCCUCAUACCUUCGAGAUUCCGGAAAUGGCUCAACAAGGUAUGUUCUUCAUCUUCACCAUGAACUCAUUUGGGUUUCUUCGGUCUGGACCAUGGAUGUUCCAUUUGGGUGUAUGUAUGGGCAUACACAUUCGGUUGUGGGAACAAAGUCAUGAGCAUAAGGACUUCCGUGUUUACUCUAUGGAUUUCGGAUGGAGAGUAACUUCUCCAACAUCCUUAUCUUAGAAACAAUUUUUUUAAUCUUAUUUCAAUCCUGUUUACUUUUUGUAUAAGUAAUUUUAUGAGACAUUUAUGUUAUGUAAGUCUUAAAUAAAAAAAGUGGUUAGAAUAAUUAUUAAGCGAAAAUAUCCCAUUCCCUUGGGGCACAAACUUAUUUUAUUACUUGAGAUGCAACUAUAUUAUGUAUUGCUCUCUCUUUUGGUCAUUCUAGGGUUGUUGGUCAUAAUAUAGUAAGACACUAAUGAUUAUGGGACUUCAAGUAACAGUUGACGUCACACUUUAAUCAUCAGAUCAUGACUCCAAAAAUGAUAGAUAUUAUAUACUCCAUAUCAUUGAGUAAAAUCAUAUAUCUUUCUUGAAGACCUUAUAGUGGCUCAAAUGACAUUAAUAAAUCUGAAUUAUUCACUUGAAUUUUAGGGUGAUGGCUAAAUGAGGCGGCUAGAAUUCAGAAGUGUAUAUAUGUUUAAUAAAGGAAGUGAAGCACCACCGCUAUAAGAGACACUUGAAACCCAAGUUGAGCAUAGUAUAUGUGAGGAUAGUAACCAUGAAGAAGAUAAAGUGAACGUUGAAGAGGUCAAUUCCAUUAUACUUGAAGAAAAUAUUAGAGAUCUUGUGAUAGAAAAAUACAAUGGUUUGCAUCAAUGUAUAGGUAUGCCAAAAUUGGCUCCUUCCAUUUAUAUGUCUUCUUCCAUUUCAAAGCAUUUGAUCUUGGAGUGUAAGUAAAUACAUGAGCAUGUAUCUGGAUAUUUCAUCAUUAGGGUCGGUACAAAAAAAAAUUAAAGUCAUUUCUUCAAUUUGCUCUCAUUUACUAAAUAAAAGGCAUGUUCCAGAAGCGAUCCUUUUCGAAUAAUUUUAGAUGUUUCAAGGGAAGUGUAAACAUUUAGUCGGUUUUAUAAUUGACCAGUAAUAUUCCGAACUCUUGGUUGAAAAGUUCGUACAGUUUCUGUAAUACCAUUUUCUUGUGGGAAUGAAAGAAUUGAC